rnacentral:rRNA from 1 species
AACGAACGCUGGCGGCAUGCCUAACACAUGCAAGUCGAACGCGUGUAGCAAUACACGAGUGGCGGACGGGUGAGUAACGCGUGGGAACCUGCCCAGUGGUAGGGAAUAACUGCGGGAAACUGCAGCUAAUACCCUAUACGCCCUUUGGGGGAAAGAUUCAUCGCCAUUGGAGGGGCCCGCGUCGGAUUAGCUAGUUGGCGGGGUAAUGGCCCACCAAGGCAACGAUCCGUAGCUGGCUGAGAGGAUGAUCAGCCACACUGGGACUGAGAUACGGCCCAGACUCCUACGGGAGGCAGCAGUGGGGAAUAUUGGACAAUGGGGGAAACCCUGAUCCAGCAAUGCCGCGUGAGUGAAGAAGGCCUUC